rnacentral:rRNA from 1 species
UGUUUAACAAAGAGAAGCAAAGCCGCGAGGUAGAGCAAAUCUCGAAAAAACAUCUCAGUUCAGACUGCAGGCUGCAACUCGCCUGCACGAAGUCGGAAUUGCUAGUAAUCGUAGGUCAGCAUACUACGGUGAAUACGUUCCCGGGCCUUGUACACACCGCCCGUCAAACCAUGAGAGUUGGCAACACCCGAAGUCGGUAGUCUAACCGCAAGGAGGACGCCGCCGAAGGUGGGGUCGAUGAUUAGGGUUAAGUCGUAACAAGGUAAC